rnacentral:snRNA from 1 species
GCUUUUCGGCCUUUUGGCUAAGAUCAACUGUGGUAU